rnacentral:rRNA from 1 species
UACGAAGGGGGCUAGCGUUGCUCGGAAUCACUGGGCGUAAAGCGCACGUAGGCGGAUUGCUAAGUCAGGGGUGAAAUCCUGGAGCUCAACUCCAGAACUGCCCUUGAUACUGGCGGUCUCGAGUCCGGGAGAGGUGAGUGGAACUGCGGGUGUAGAGGUGAAAUUCGUAGAUAUUCGCAAGAACACCAGUGGCGAAGGCGGCUCACUGGCCCGGUACUGACGCUGAGGUGCGAAAGCGUGGGGAGCAAACAGG